AACGAACGCUGGCGGCAUGCCUAACACAUGCAAGUCGAACGAGAUCUUCGGGUCUAGUGGCGCACGGGUGCGAAACGCGUGGGAAUCUGCCCUUUGGUUCGGAAUAACAGUUGGAAACGACUGCUAAUACCGGAUGAAGACGAAAGUCCAAAGAUUUAUCGCCAGAGGAUGAGCCCGCGUAGGAUUAGCUAGUUGGUGUGGUAAAGGCGCACCAAGGCGACGAUCCUUAGCUGGUCUGAGAGGAUGAUCAGCCACACUGGGACUGAGACACGGCCCAGACUCCUACGGGAGGCAGCAGUGGGGAAUAUUGGACAAUGGGCGAAAGCCUGAUCCAGCAAUGCCGCGUGAGUGAUGAAGGCCUUAGGGUUGUAAAGCUCUUUUACCCGGGAUGAUAAUGACAGUACCGGGAGAAUAAGCUCCGGCUAACUCCGUGCCAGCCGCCGCAGUAA
rnacentral:rRNA from 1 species